CUACGGGAGGCACCAGUGAGGAAUAUUGCACAAUGGGGGGGACCCUGAUGCAGCAACGCCGCGUGGAGGAUGACGCAUUUCGGUGUGUAAACUCCUUUUAUAUGUCAAGAAAAUGACGGUAGCAUAUGAAUAAGCACCGGCUAACUCCGUGCCAGCAGCGCGCGGUAAUACGGAGGGUGCAAGCGUUACUCGGAAUCACUGGGCGUAAAGGAAGCGUAGGCGGGUUGGAAAGUCAGGUGUGAAAUCCUACAGCUUAACUGUAGAACUGCACUUGAAACUUCUAAUCUAGAGUAUGGGAGGGGGAGAUGGAAUUAGUGGUGUAGGGGUAAAAUCCGUAGAUAUCACUAGGAAUACCUAAAGCGAAGGCGAUCUCCUGGAACAUUACUGACGCUAAGGCGUGAAAGCGUGGGGAGCAAACAGGAUUAGAUACCCGUGUAGUC
rnacentral:rRNA from 1 species